UAGCUAACUAGCGGUAGCUGCAACCGUCUGGAGUCAGGAAAUCAUCUGAGGGAGAAAAAAAUGCUGCAGUGUGAACGCACCAUGUGGCCGCCUCCAUCAGCUGCUGUGAUCAGAGGCCGGCCCGAUCAGCCGAACGUCCCGCUGCCGUCCUGGCAGCGUUGACGUCUCCACUUGCUCAGAGGAGCCAUGACGGCUCAGGCAGGCAUCAGCUCUGAUUCUCCGGAUGACGGCGUUUUACGGGACCCGCGACAGUUUAUGAUUGCUUCGUUUAGACGUCAUCAUUAAGCUGCCACAAACCAGGCAGCGAAGCCGCCUAGACGCCCCGGGAAACCCCGAAAUCAAUCUGCUGCACCUGCUGGGGAAUACUGUAAAGUGAGUUUGUUCUGCGUUGUUUUUACUUACUGCUGCCAAUUCAGGUCUGAAAGUCCCAGAGAGGAAAUAACGU